UGCAGUCGAGCGGGGAAGGUAGCUUGCUACCUGACCUAGCGGCGGACGGGUGAGUAAUGCUUAGGAAUCUGCCUAUUAGUGGGGGACAACAUUCCGAAAGGAAUGCUAAUACCGCAUACGCCCUACGGGGGAAAGCAGGGGAUCUUCGGACCUUGCGCUAAUAGAUGAGCCUAAGUCAGAUUAGCUAGUUGGUGGGGUAAAGGCCUACCAAGGCGACGAUCUGUAGCGGGUCUGAGAGGAUGAUCCGCCACACUGGGACUGAGACACGGCCCAGACUCCUACGGGAGGCAGCAGUGGGGAAUAUUGGACAAUGGGCGAAAGCCUGAUCCAGCCAUGCCGCGUGUGUGAAGAAGGCCUUUUGGUUGUAAAGCACUUUAAGCGAGGAGGAGGCUACUUGGAUUAAUACUCUAGGAUAGUGGACGUUACUCGCAGAAUAAGCACCGGCUAACUCUGUGCCAGCAGCCGCGGUAAUACAGAGGGUGCGAGCGUUAAUCGGAUUUACUGGGCGUAAAGCGUGCGUAGGCGGCUUUUUAAGUCGGAUGUGAAAUCCCUGAGCUUAACUUAGGAAUUGCAUUCGAUACUGGGAAGCUAGAGUAUGGGAGAGGAUGGUAGAAUUCCAGGUGUAGCGGUGAAAUGCGUAGAGAUCUGGAGGAAUACCGAUGGCGAAGGCAGCCAUCUGGCCUAAUACUGACGCUGAGGUACGAAAGCAUGGGGAGCAAACAGGAUUAGAUACCCUGGUAGUCCAUGCCGUAAACGAUGUCUACUAGCCGUUGGGGCCUUUGAGGCUUUAGUGGCGCAGCUAACGCGAUAAGUAGACCGCCUGGGGAGUACGGUCGCAAGACUAAAACUCAAAUGAAUUGACGGGGGCCCGC
rnacentral:rRNA from 1 species